CGGAAAGUACCAUCUUGAGACUCUUCAAGGGAGGGGUGACUGAUUGGGAGGAUUUUUAGAAAAGAUUUAAUUACCUACACUGCAAAUUACACUGUGUUGAAUCUGAUCCUCCAGUAGAAGAAUCAUCAAAGCGUGUCCAGUCUUCUUAAAUGGAGUAUUGGCCGUGUGUACUUUUGAGGUUUAGGGGUAGCUCCCCAUGGAAAUAUAUACGAUCACAAGAACCAUUAACAUGACCACUAGAGGAUAAAGCACAAACCACUUCCCAAACUGCUAGCGCAGUUGUCCGGAGCCCUGAUUCCUGGGUUUAUCAGCACCCCACCCCCACCCCCACCCUGCAGUGGGCUGACAUUCCCGAUUGCCUCCAGCAAAGAACAGGUUUUUGGGUUUAAAAAACAAAACAGGAAAGGUGCCGGUUUUCUGUGCCUCCAAGGUACGAUCACAACCCCUGGCAACCACAGAUUAAAGACUUUUAAAGAAGAAAGAAAAACUACCUACACCCCCACACACAUACACAUACACACACACACACACACACACAUACACAUCCCAAAACUGGGCAGAAACGCAGAGAUCACCACAUAUUUAAUAUACUUCCCUGGGACAAAACGUGUCUCAUGAAAAAUGGCUGAGCACCAAUCUACAGUUAGGUAUCUAAGUGUUCGUCCCUGCUGUCAGCGGGUUGGAGGGAUUUUUUUUUUUUUUCUCCUUAACGCAAGGCUUUGAUGUGUUGGCAGAGCUGACCUGACAAGCUGGAGUAGGCUAGGAAACGUGUCCUGCAUAUUUCCUUCUGUGCCUCCAAAGAUUAGGACCAGAACUGACUGCGAUUAAACCCUACCUAGGAUCCAAGGGCUUGAGCCCUUGAUGCUGUUCGAUGCUGGGAAAGUAGUGGUUCCGCAACCCCGGGCAGCUCGGCGAUGCUGAAAUGAGCAACCCAGCCCCUAGCUGGUCUCCGCCGCCCACCACCGGGCCGCAGCGGCCUCGCACGCCAAGCCCCCGACCCUUAAAGUUGAGCCUCCUAUGAUUGCCCUCUGCAAGUUUCCAGGGUGCAGGACGCAGCCAACUUUGCAAGCCGCCUCUGGGCGACUCGCUUCCCCGGAGGGGCUGGCCACCGGGGAGGCAGGGCGGCUACGGUUCAGACAAAAUGCAGAAGCCUUCCAACCGCCACUUUUCCUUUUCCAGAGGGGAAGCUCUCCCUCCAGGCGAGCAUCCGAUUUCCAUCUGGAGAGGGAGAGGGCCGACCGCGCAUUCCCCUCGCCCACAAAAGUGGCCUCUAAAGUCGCUCGCCAAGGACACCGGGAAGGAGGCGACCCCGGGCAGGGCCAACUUUCGGGAGGCGAGGGCAUCCUGGGCUACAGAAUGGGACUGUCAAAAAAGAGAAAGAAGUCUAAGUCGAGCAUUCUCCAAGGCAUAGUUUGGAUUGCUUUUCCUGAGUAGCUGUGAUUCAGCAACAGCACCCCCACCUCCCUGAGCAGCAGGCCAUGAUAGAGGCAACAGACAACGAGGGGAAAAAAGGCAAAUGAAUCAGAGGUGUGCCUCAGGCUUUGUUACAGCCCGAAGCAUGGAUGUGAUAGCUGUGGCUACCCGACAGUCUUGUGGCACCAUAGAGUCUCAAAGUCCUGCUAAAGAAGACAACAGAAGGAUGAAAAGAAGAGCUGAUCUAAGAACCCCAAACUACUUAUCUCUGGGUGUAUGUGAGAGAGAACUAUCAGGCGACCCCUGUGAACAGGUGGUUUGACCCAAAGGGGUCUGGAUUCACAGAUUGAAAACUACUGCUCUGGAGUCCUCGGGAAGAUUUGCAGGCUUUCAAAGGGAAAUGGUACCUGUGGAGGAGGCAAAGAAACCUGAGAUGAUUGAGGGCUGGAAUUAACACAGAAAACUCAAGGAAAGUUAAAGGAAGCCUGAAGGUGUUCUUAACCUUUCCUGGAGCCUGGACCUGGUAAAAUGUGUGUAGUUAGGAUUAGAGAAAGAGCAAAAACAUCAAAUGAGGCCAGUGUGCCAUUCCUGUGAGAAAAUACAGACGUUAGACAUCAGUGCCGGUACCACCCAGUCGUUACCUUUCUUGUGCUGACCACAUGCCUGACAAGAAGAAACUUAAGGGCUAAGGGUUGGGGUGAGGGGUUACUUGGGCUCACGGUUCUCUGGGAUACAGUCCAUUCUGGUGAGAAAAGUGAGGCGGCCAAAGGUCCAUGGUGGAGAGAGUGUGGGUGGAGCUCCUUACAGGCAGGUCUACAGAACAGGAAGCCCAGAGAGACGAAGGUGGGUGCUCAGCUGAUUUUCCACUGUACUCCUUUAAUUCAGCCCCAAAUCCUAGCCCCCCCUCAGUUAAUCCUCUCUGGGAACAAUCUCUCAGACACUACCAGAGGCAUAGCUCACUAUUAUUCCAGGUGUUGGUUAAUCCAGUCUACUGAUACUUAGAAUUAAGUAUCAGAAAAUCAGGAAGAAGGACAACUGUCAUCACCCACCAUCAUUUAGAGUAUUAAUACAAGGGACCGGUCUUCGUCUGAGGAAGCAGAUCGAGAGAUGUCAGAGAACAGACAAGUCAUGUCUGAGUUUGAUCACUGGGGACAGACCACACAGAGAUGUCUUUGCCCGGGACUGGUACACAACCUGAGAGGUUGAGUUGAAACUGAGCGAGCCUUUGGAAUGGAGCUAAGCGAUGACUCAUCUCACUGACUUUAGUUCACCAGCUCUGGUUCCCUUCCUCUCAGGGAAACAGAGUGGAUGCCUAACAGUGCUGAAACACUCCCUGGAGAACACGCCUCCGACUAACUCAUAAAAACUGAAUGCUUUUCAUUACAACUCGAGGGAGUGACUUAUUCUGCCCUCCCCCCCACCCCCGCCUUCCCUGAGGUGCCCCAUCCUGAAUGGCAGAGAGUGACAUUGCCCCAAACAUGACCCGUUUGUUAUGAGAUCAUAGUUGAGCCAUGAAUAUCUACCAACUUUGCUGAUUUGAAAAUUAAUUUUUAGUGUUGGGAGAACAAUAAAAAGUAGAUAAUAAUACCAGAACUAUUUAAUUAUUGGAAAUAUCUGGGUAAUGUUUAGUGGUGUAUGAACAGGUAGGAAAAAUACAAAUGUUUAUAUAUUGGAUUUAUUUGACAUGACAAAAUAAAAAAUCUUUGUUUU